rnacentral:rRNA from 1 species
GACGAACGCUGGCGGCGUGCUUAACACAUGCAAGUCGAACGGAAAGGCCCUGCUUGCCGGGUGCUCGAGUGGCGAACGGGUGAGUAACACGUGGGUGAUCUGCCCCUUACUUUGGGAUAAGCCUGGGAAACUGGGUCUAAUACUGGAUAGGACCAUGCUGUAGGUGGUGUGGUGGAAAGAUUAGUUUCGGUAAGGGAUGAGCUCGCGGCCUAUCAGCUUGUCGGUGGGGUAAUGGCCUACCAAGGCGUCGACGGGUAGCCGGCCUGAGAGGGUGGACGGCCACAUUGGGACUGAGAUACGGCCCAGACUCCUACGGGAGGCAGCAGUGGGGAAUAUUGCACAAUGGGCGCAAGCCUGAUGCAGCGACGCCGCGUGGGGGAUGACGGCCUUCGGGUUGUAAACUCCUUUCAGCCAUGACGAAGCCCUUGUGGUGACGGUAGUGGUAGAAGAAGCACCGGCUAACUACGUG